ACAAGGCCUAACACAUGCAAGUCAGGGGCAGCACAAGGAGCAAUCUGAGGUGGCGACCGGCGCACGGGUGAGUAACACGUAUGCAACCUGCCUGUAAGCGGGGAAUAACCCGUUGAAAGACGGACUAAUACCGCAUAAUACUAAAUUACUGCAUGGUAAUUUAUUUAAACAUUUAUGGCUUACAGAUGGGCAUGCGCAUGAUUAGCUAGUUGGAGAGGUAACGGCUCCCCAAGGCAACGAUCAUUAGGGGUUCUGAGAGGAAGGUCCCCACACUGGUACUGAGACACGGACCAGACUCCUACGGGAGGCAGCAGUGAGGAAUAUUGGUCAAUGGACGAGAGUCUGAACCAGCCAAGUCGCGUGCAGGAAGAAUGUCCUAAUGGAUUGCAAACUGCUUUUGCAGGGGAAUAAAGUGCAUCACGUGUGAUGUUUUGUAUGUACUCUGCGAAUAAGGAUCGGCUAACUCCGUGCCAGCCGCUGC
rnacentral:rRNA from 1 species